CAGACUACUCUACUAACUACUGAAUCAGACUACUCUACUAACUACUGAAUCAGACUACUCUACCAACUACUGGAUCAGACUACUCUACCAACUACUGGAUCAGACUACUCUACCAACUACUGGAUCAGACUACUCUACUAACUACUGGUCUAAAACACACCUGGAUCAGACUACUCUACCAACUACUGGAUCAGACUACUCUACCAACUACUGGAUCAGACUACUCUACCAACUACUGGUCUAAAACACACCUGGAUCAGACUACUCUACUAACUACUGGAUCAGACUACUCUACUAACUACUGGAUCAGACUACUCUACUAACUACUGGAUCAGACUACUCUACUAACUACUGAAUCAGACUACUCUACUAACUACUGAAUCAGACUACUCUACCAACUACUGGAUCAGACUACUCUACCAACUACUGGAUCAGACUACUCUACCAACUACUGGAUCAGACUACUCUACUAACUACUGGUCUAAAACACACCUGGAUCAGACUACUCUACCAACUACUGGAUCAGACUACUCUACCAACUACUGGAUCAGACUACUCUACCAACUACUGGUCUAAAACACACCUGGAUCAGACUACUCUACUAACUACUGGAUCAGACUACUCUACCAACUACUGGAUCAGACUACUCUACCAACUACUGGAUCAGACUACUCUACCAACUACUGGAUCAGACUACUCUACCAACUACUGGUCUAAAACACACCUGGAUCAGACUACUCUACUAACUACUGGAUCAGACUACUCUACUAACUACUGGAUCAGACUACUCUACUAACUACUGGAUCAGACUACUCUACCAACUACUGGAUCAGACUACUCUACUAACUACUGGAUCAGACUACUCUACUAACUACUGGAUCAGACUACCCUACUAACUACUGGUCUAAAACACACCUGGAUCAGACUCAUUUUCACAACAAAUGGAGCUGCCGUUCUCUGGUCUGGAGUCGACCUUCAUCAUCAUCGCCUUCAUCAUCUUCUCUCUCUUCGGCCUGGCCUCAGUCUGUACUCAGCCGGACACAGAGGAAGCUGUGUGUGAAGAGAAGAGGUUCCACAGGAAACCAGAGAGGAAGCAACGUGUCAUCGUCAAACUGGCCUCUCAGAGAGAACCCUGAACACUGUCCUCUCAGAGAGAACCCUGAACACUGGCCUCUCAGAGAGAACCCUGAACACUGGCCCAAUCUGGCCUCUCAGAGAGAACCCUGAACACUGGCCUCUCAGAGAGAACCCUGAACACUGUCCCAAACUGGCCUCUCAGAGAGAACCCUGAACACUGGCCUCUCAGAGAGAACCCUGAACACUGUCCCAAACUGGCCUCUCAGAGAGAACCCUGAACACUGGCCUCUCAGAGAGAACCCUGAACACUGGCCUCUCAGAGAGAACCCUGAACACUGGCCUCUCAGAGAGAACCCUGAACACUGGCCCAAUCUGGCCUCUCAGAGAGAACCCUGAACACUGGCCCAAUCUGGCCUCUCAGAGAGAACCCUGAACACUGGCCUCUCAGAGAGAACCCUGAACACUGUCUCAAACUGGCCUCUCAGAGAGAACCCUGAACACUGGCCUCUCAGAGAGAACCCUGAACACUGUCCCAAACUGGCCUCUCAGAGAGAACCCUGAACACUGGCCUCUCAGAGAGAACCCUGAACACUGUCCCAAACUGGCCUCUCAGAGAGAACCCUGAACACUGUCCCAAACUGGCCUCUCAGAGAGAACCCUGAACACUGUCCCAAACUGGCCUCUCAGAGAGAACCCUGAACACUGUCCCAAACUGGCCUCUCAGAGAGAACCCUGAACACUGGCCUAUCAGAGAGAACCCUGAACACUGUCCCAAACUGGCCUCUCAGAGAGAACCCUGAACACUGGCCUCUCAGAGAGAACCCUGAACACUGUCCCAAACUGGCCUCUCAGAGAGAACCCUAAACACUGUCCCAAACUGGCCUCUCAGAGAGAACCCUGAACACUGGCCUCUCAGAGAGAACCCUGAACACUGGCCUCUCAGAGAGAACCCUGAACACUGGCCUCUCAGAGAGAACCCUGAACACUGGCCUCUCAGAGAGAACCCUGAACACUGGCCUCUCAGAGAGAACCCUGAACACUGGCCUCUCAGAGAGAACCCUGAACACUGUCCCAAUCUGGCCUCUCAGAGAGAACCCUGAACACUGGCCUCUCAGAGAGAACCCUGAACACUGGCCUCUCAGAGAGAACCCUGAACACUGUCCCAAACUGGCCUCUCAGAGAGAACCCUGAACACUGUCCCAAACUGGCCUCUCAGAGAGAACCCUGAACACUGGCCUCUCAGAGAGAACCCUGAACACUGUACCAGCCCUGGUAGCACAAUCGAUAUGCUGAUAGAAUUUAGGGAGCCUUAUUUUUCACAUUAGCUUUGUUAAAAUCUCCAGCUACAAUAAAUGCAGCCUCAGGAUAUGUGGUUUCCAGUUUACAAAGAGUCCAGUGAACUUCUUUCAGGGCCAUGUUGGUAAGUUGACGUUGCUCAUAUGGCCAAUAGUUCUUCCCGGCUGUAUGUAAUAAAACGUAAGAUUUCCUGGGGUAACAAUGUACGAAAUAAUACAUUUAAAAAAAAUAAAAAAUACUGCACGGUUUCCUAAGAACACGAGGCGGCCAUCUCUGUUGGCGCCGGAUGUUGCCGUACAUUUUGUUAACGACAGCUGGUGCACGAAAUCUAAAGAAGUCUUAAGGUUUUGCUGGCCUGAGGUAGAGUAUCUCAUGAUAAGCUGUAGACCACACUAUUUACCAAGAGAGUUUUCAUCUAUAUUCUUCGUAGCUGUCCAUUUACCGACACAAACCGAUGCGCUGGCACUAAGACCGAACUCAAUGAGCUGUGUACCGCCAUAAGCAAACAGGAAGACGCUCAUCCAGAGGCGGCGCUCCUAGUGGCCGGGGACUUUAAUGCAGGGAAACUUAAAUCCGUUUUACCUCA